GUGGGGGACAACGUUCCGAAAGGAACGCUAAUACCGCAUACGCCCUACGGGGGAAAGCAGGGGAUCUUCGGACCUUGCGCUAAUAGAUGAGCCUAAGUCGGAUUAGCUAGUUGGUGGGGUAAAGGCCUACCAAGGCGACGAUCUGUAGCGGGUCUGAGAGGAUGAUCCGCCACACUGGGACUGAGACACGGCCCAGACUCCUACGGGAGGCAGCAGUGGGGAAUAUUGGACAAUGGGCGGAAGCCUGAUCCAGCCAUGCCGCGUGUGUGAAGAAGGCCUUUUGGUUGUAAAGCACUUUAAGCGAGGAGGAGGCUCCUUUAGUUAAUACCUAAAGUGAGUGGACGUUACUCGCAAAAUAAGCACCGGCUAACUCUGUGCCAGCAGCCGCGGUAAUACAGAGGGUGCGAGCGUUAAUCGGAUUUACUGGGCGUAAAGCGUGCGUAGGCGGCUUUUUAAGUCGGAUGUGAAAUCCCUGAGCUUAACUUAGGAAUUGCAUUCGAUACUGGAAAGCUAGAGUAUGGGAGAGGAUGGUAGAAUUCCAGGUGUAGCGGUGAAAUGCGUAGAGAUCUGGAGGAAUACCGAUGGCGAAGGCAGCCAUCUGGCCUAAUACUGACGCUGAGGUACGAAAGCAUGGGGAGCAAACAGGAUUAGAUACCCUGGUAGUCCAUGCCGUAAACGAUGUCUACUAGCCGUUGGGGCCUUUGAGGCUUUAGUGGCGCAGCUAACGCGAUAAGUAGACCGCCUGGGGAGUACGGUCGCAAGACUAAAACUCAAAUGAAUUGACGGGGGCCCGCACAAGCGGUGGAGCAUGUGGUUUAAUUCGAUGCAACGCGAAGAACCUUACCUGGCCUUGACAUACUAAGAACUUUCCAGAGAUGGAUUGGUGCCUUCGGGAACUUAGAUACAGGUGCUGCAUGGCUGUCGUCAGCUCGUGUCGUGAGAUGUUGGGUUAAGUCCCGCAACGAGCGCAACCCUUUUCCUUAUUUGCCAUCGGGUAAUGCCGGGAACUUUAAGGAUACUGCCAGUGACAAACUGGAGGAAGGCGGGGACGACGUCAAGUCAUCAUGGCCCUUACGGCCAGGGCUACACACGUGCUACAAUGGUCGGUACAAAGGGUUGCUACCUCGCGAGAGGAUGCUAAUCUCAAAAAGCCGAUCGUAGUCCGGA
rnacentral:rRNA from 1 species